ensembl:lncRNA
CGGGGGGGCUCCGAGGGUCGGGGCUGCUCGGUGAUCCGCCGCCAGCCGCACGGGUUUCCCGAGAUAAUUCCCGGUUUCUGCCGCUGGAGAGCGGCACCGCUGCUGCUGCUGCUGCGUGUUACUGAUGCAACAGGUGCCCACACCUGGUCCCAUGGAUGAAGCCCUUCUAAAAGCAUCUCUGAAUCGCAAGCGUGAAGAAGACCAUAUCUCAUCCUACAAGAGCAUAUGGAGUUCAGCACUAAGGAAGUGAAAUGUGCGCUUUUCACUAUUCACAGAUAGGUACGAGCGCCUAGAAUCUGCAUGGUCAAGAAGCACACCACUGCAUACUGCUCAUUUUCCAGCUUCUUAACUUUGAAGGGAUGAUUUAUUGCAUUUCAUCAAGUGUCUUUCAGUGUGGAGUCGACAGCUUCUGCUAUUCCUGGUCAACCCUUACGUACUUUGCUGCUCAUUGGGGUUUUUGUUUUUGCUACCUCUAUUAGAUCAAGACUUUCGAUCUAGAGAAGUCAUAUGCUCGUUACUUACUGAAGACAGGUGCUUUCCAUGGGUUCUGGUUGUUGCAACUGAUACGCAUUACUACGUAUACUGUUUGUAAGUUGUAGUCUAAUACUGCCUCAACACCAGAAAUAUUUCACAGAACUACGAAACGUAUCUGAAAAGCUGAGGAGUCAGACUAAUAAGCUAUUGGUUGGCAGUGUUAUUAAUUUGUAUGUUCUGCAAGAAUUGCGCCACCUUACAAUGAGCACAACAUCGUUCUUAGAAGAUUAUGAAUUAUACACCCCUACAGUACAGUUGGCUAAAGAAGGCUGCAGAAAAUACCACAUUCUACACACACACACCUCUGAUAACUAACCAAUGUCCAAAUAGAGCAAACAUCCAAUAGGAUUAGCUUCCUAGAUAUGUCUGUGCCGGAUUUAGCAGUUAAAACAUCAGUAUUUUUCCUCAGAGCUUUGCUCCCACUGUCUCAUUUCCUCCUACCCCUAGCACCUUGUCAACUAUUUCUUUUCUGACCCUGAUGAGGGAGGUUGUCCACAGCAGAAACAGAUAUGCUGCAUUCUUUGUUUUGCCUCUUUGCAGUGAUUCCAGUCCAUCUACCUUCAAUUGAUCCUAAACCUUUAGGACCUCUGGCACUGAAGUAGUGUUAGUUCCUUCAAAGCAGGAGUUAACUUCGGUUAAUAAAGUCUGCUUCCCUGGCAGUACUUCCACACACCAUUUCUAUUCAACUCAUUCAUCCAAGUUUGGGGCACCUCACUGUGGGACCUCCAAGCUCUUGACUGCACAGCACCCUUGAGGCAAGCACAAAGUUAGCUCCCACAGCUUACACUCGUCUGAGCGAGCUCUGCAAUGAGUUGUGCAGCCACUGAAUUUGAAAGAACAUGCACACUCUCAUCCAUCUGCCAGUACCUAAGGAUCAAAACCCAAAGGCCUGGAAGGAACAGAAGGCGGUGAGUAGGAAUGCGUUCUCUUGAUGCAGAGUAUAAGCAAGUGAAGCUGAUUUCCACAUGCCAGAGGGACGCUUGGAAAGUAGACCACUGACUGCAGGACAAGAUGGAGGCACAGUCAAAAUACAAAGGCGUAGAGAAGUCACCACAGGUAGAAUUAGAAUUGUAGAAUGGCUUGGGUUGAAAGGGACCUCAGUGAUCAUCUAGUUCCAGCUUCCUGCCACGGCAAGGGCUUCCAACCCCUAAUUCAGGCACUAGAUCAGACUGCCCAGGGCCAUGAUGGCUGUGGUAGCUGAGAGGAUGAGGCUCUCACGCCAACCCCUCAGCUGGAGAAAGAUGGCACCAGAAUUCACUUUUCUGGCCUCUCUCCCAGCCUUACCAGGCUGUCUGUCCCCAGGUUUCAUGUAGCCCUGCCCACCAAGGGUCUGAGGAGCUGGGUGCUUUGCUCACACCUCCCUGCCUGGUGGUAGAAAUGAGGUGGGGGUGCUGGCCUGGAGCCCUGUGGUGCAGGGAGCAGAGCAGGAAGGCACAUCCAGUGACUGAAGUGGCACAACCUGGAGCUGCCAGGACCAGACUGGAGGAGCAGAGGAAAGGAUGAAGAGGAAGAUCUCUGCCAAGUGGGGACAUGUGCACAGAGAUGCAGUCACA